UCAGCGCAAGUGCGGGACACUUGAGUUCAACAGACGCUCCGAAGCACUCUUGGGGCCAGCAAGACAGGGAGGUAGAUGCCCAGGCUGGCUUGUUUGGCCUACCUCUCUCGGAUACAUUCUAACAGGGACCUAGGAUCCCCAGAAACCCUCCUUCCAUUUUCCUGAUCCAGGAAAAAUGAAGAUAAAAAUGCUCCCUGCUCUGGCCAUUGUUUACUCUUCAACUAAAAGGCUGCCUCUUGAUUCUGCCUGACAAGAGGUUCUCACAUAUUGAGAAUGGUCAUUGGUUAUUUUGCAUCGACAUUUGGUGUAGUCAGCAGGAUUUCAGAGAAAGCCACCAGAGACCACCUGGAAUCUACACUGAACCAGCAUCUGGGCCCGUUGAGACACCCCAGAUCACUGCAUUCUUCAGGUGACCCUGUGCAUGUGACUGUAUUUCGGGGAAAUCCUUGUUUUUAAAAGCAAUGCCGUGAGAAUCCAGAACAUGGGUCCUCCUUGCUCAAGAGCCUGACGUCAGUCCUCAGAGUUGCAACCCAAGGUGUCUCAGACCACCGAGCUGGUUACUCCAGGAGGAGGGUACCCAUAGACCAGCGUGGAAUACGGCUCCCCUGCUCCAUCCCCUCAUCCUCAGGACUGACGCUAAACUGCCUCUUUUCCUGGGGGAGCCAGCGAACCCUAACUCCAGAAUCUUCCCCUCCUGGCUGAAGAGCAGCAGUACUAAGUGUGAAAUUUCAAGGAUUUUAGGAGCUCUGUGCCAGCAAUGGGGAUGAAGACCAAAUAUAUCUUACAAAUCACAAUAUUAAGCUUCUAUAAGUGUAGAAGUCCAAGAGGUGACCUAAUUUCAGGCACAGCUGGAUCCAGGAGUUCAAAUUACAACCCAAGGACUAUGUUUUUCACCACUUCUUAGUUCUACAGGCAACUAGUUCUGUUGGCUCCAGGAAGAUUUUUUUCUCCAUGUGACAGUGAAGAUGAUCACCAGUUGUCCCUGGUUUAUAUAAUCCUUAAAGGUAAGGAGAAAAGAGAGAACCUUCUCACUCUAGCAUAUCAUUCAGUCUAGAUCAGUUUCUAAAGAGGAACCUGGUGAGUUCACUUGCUCGUCUUUCUAUGUCUAGGAGGAUGGGGUAUUCUGAUUGUUUAGCUGGAGACAUGUGCCCACAAUAAUCACAUGGUGUGAGGAAAGGGCACUUCCCAGAAGGAAGGCUCAGAGAACAGCUAUCCCCUGUAGCCCUUACCUUCAUUUGGCUUGAACAUUUUUCUAAACUCUCCAAUUGAAAGCAGUUUUAACACCCAUGGAGUUUGGUGUAUAUUCAGUUUGGGAAAAGAAGCACUGCAUGGUUUGAUGGCAUUGAGGGUGGGUCAGAGGUCAUCUCUGCCCAGUGACUCUCAGAACUUGUUGUACUUCGUGAAGGAUCACUGGCUGAUGAUGAUAAUCUACCUAGCAGUUACAAUCUAGAUUUUAAAAAAUGGAAGGGUCACUCUGCACCGCCUCCCCAACUUACUCUCCGACCUCCCCAGAUAGCGGCUAGAGACACACCUGUGAGACAGAAAAAGAAAGUGUCUUGGCACAGAUUGCUCAUGACCAACAGCCGCAUUUAUUCUUUCAUACUCUCAGUUCCCCAAUCUGCUUUUUCUUUCCAUUGAGGUGAAGCCAAAAAGACAGACUGAAAAGAGACCAUGACCAUAUUAUUCAUAAUUCCUCUGUGAUAACUCCAUGAUGCCCCCUCAUUUUUCAGUGAGAGGGUUUUCUGACAGCUGGCUUUUAUAAUUCAUUUACUAGGUAGUUUCAAUUUAAUGACCAAUUUUAAAAAAUAAUUUUUGCAGACCCCCUGGAGUUUCAGCCAUUUAAACAGAACAUAAUAGAAUUUCCCAAAGAAAUAAGUCUUCCUUGAUUAAUCACUUCCAGAUAUAAUUACAUAUGUUUUCGUCAUAUAAACAAUCAUUGUGGUUACAGUUCCAAUUAGGUUAACCUUCUCUUGUCCAUAGACGGAUUUCAAGUUUCGUGAGUCUUGGGAUGUGAGUAUACCUCCUGCUUUCCCAUGUAGGUGACAACACUUGGGCAGGGAUCUUCUCUUCUAUGUCUGUAGAACCACCUUUUCCCUCUCUCCUCAUCCCCAGGACAGCUUUAAGCAAGGACAAAGGAGGAACGUAUUUAUUUCUCUAGUGAAAGAUCCUGGGCUCUGCAAAUUGCCAGAGCUCAGGUGAAAUUCCAGGUCUGCUAUUUACUAGCUGUGCGGGCAAAAUGGUCCAUUUUAAAAAACUUAAUUUUCUUACAAGAAAAAGUGACAAUAAAUUCUUGAGGGUUUUUGUGACAAUUAAGUAAGCUAUGCAUUCAAAAGCACUUAAAGAUGCUUGUAGAUCCUUUAAAAAGUAUUUGUUUCCUUAGAGAUAUGGAUGUAGAAGCUACUGAGUCUAUGAAAUGUCUUUCUCGUAUGUUGCUGACAUUUGAAAUUCUUUUCCAGAAGACAAAACCUUUAUGCCAAAAUAGAAAUGAGAUUGAAAUGGUAAAUAAUCUCCGGGCAAGUAACAGUGAAGUUAAAUACAUUCACUCUGCCAGAUAUGAUAAAUAUAUGGCUACACACCCCAUCACGGCUCCUUCUCUUACGGUGGUUGACACAGUACAUUGGUCAAAGUAGAGUGUCCCACUCAGCCUGCAGUGCACCUCACAGUUCUCAACACAGGACUCUAGACAGACAUAAGAGUCUAGACAGACAUUGGACAGACACUAGUCAAUUAGAGGUUGUCCACUCAUGCUAACGCAGACCUCCUUGACACUGGCUACCUUCAGAAGGGCAGGAUUUGAUGAGGGGAUUGGGGGAAAUUAGAAGAAGAGAGAAAAGGAGCACGCCUUGCUGGACGUAGAGGUGAGAAAGGGCUCCAGGAGAGAAAAGGUGCAAUUUCUCUGCCUGGUGUAUUUUCUAAGAGGUUGCCGUUACCCAAAGAGGUAUCCUCAGGACCCCAUCGAAAGAAUUGCCCCACGGACAACUAAAUAAAAGAAUUACUAAUUAUGGAGUACUUGAAGUAACAGACGAAGUGGUAUGAUAGACAAUAACGUGAGACCUCCUUAGACAAACUGGUCUGUGGAAUGCCUCUCUAAGAAGGGAACAUUUGGGCCGAGAGCUAAAGAAUGGUCUUUAGGAACCAGCCAUACAAAGAGGAGCAGGAAGAAGCAGGUAAAAAGUUUCAGGCCAGAAUCAACUUGGGCUCCUCAAAAGAGUUGUAUGAAAGCCAGGAAGGCUGGAGCGGAGGGAGCUGGGGAGAGAGACGAAGGGUGGGUUUCAAAGGCGAGCAGGGCUGGACCACACAGAAUUCUGGGGCUGAUAAUAGGAAAUUUGGAUAGAUAUUGAAGGGCUUUUAGGGUAGUUAUAUGAUCUUAGAUAGUUUUGAAAAGCCCUCUCUAGUUCUCUGUACAAACCGGGUGGGAAGUGGGGAUGGGUCAAGAAUGGAAGAGAGGAGACAGGUUAGGAGACUAAAUGAAAGAGGAUAGUCUGGAGAUGUGGACAGCAAUGUAUGUUCUGGAGGUUGACACUAUGGAAUUUGCUGAUGCACUGAGAGUGGGAGAUCAGGAGAAGAGAGAAAUCAUUUCUCUGGGCUUCUCAGUGGUGGCACCAUUUGCCCAAAUGAGGGCGAACAGGAGAAACAUUGGUGUGUGUAGGAGGGUGAUUUUCUUGCAGAACAAGUUUGUGUGUCAUUUAGUGGCCAGUUUCUCUUAUCCAGUGGGAAUUCUGGGCAUGGGACUGAGAAAAAAAUAAGAGGGAAUGCAUGCUCUUAUUGGGGUCAUUCAUUCAUUCAACAGAUAUAUAUCAUGUACCAGACCCUCUUCUAGGUUUGGGGAUUGGAAAAGUUCUUGCUCUCACGGAACUUAUACUCUACUAGGUUGGGGAGUAGUGUGCACAAAAAUAAGUGCAUAAUAUACCAAGUGAUAAUAAGUGCUGUGAAUAAAACAAAGCAAUGUAAGGGUUAAAAAAUUAAGUGUGUGUGUGUAAGAGCUGUGGUUUGCUAUUUUAUAUAUGGUGGUUAGCAAAGCCUCUAUGAUAAGGUGACAUUUGAUUGGAAAGCUGAAGGAGGUGAGAAAGCAAGCUACAUUGGAUAUCUGGGAGCAUUCAAGGCAAAGGAACAGUAAGUACAAAGGCCCAGCUUGCUGUGUUGCAGGAGUUGAAGGACACCUGUGCGACUGGAGCAGAGUGAUAGAGUGGGGGUGCAGUGAGAGAUGAGGUCAGAGAGGCCGUGGGGGCCUGGUCUUCUAUGGCCUUACAUGAUCAUUUUAAGAAAUUUGGAUUUGACUAUGAGUAAGAUGGGGAGCCACUGGAGCAUUUCCACCUUUACUGAGAACCCACCAAAGAUUCCCAUUUGCAUUUCUUGUUCUUAUUAAAUGAGGAAAAGUUUUGUCCCUGGCUACUUUGUGGUGAAGCAUAAAAGGUAGAUCAAGAAUAAAAUGAAGACAUGAGACGAGACAAUUUCUUUCUAGCAGAAAUUGCCUAAACCAAAAAGAUAUCCACAUAUCUCUUACCCAAGCCAUUUCAUCACUGAGCAACUUGGGAUACAAUCCCUGCAGCUGGCAAACUCUGCUAUAGGACGGGCAUGAUUCGGGGAAAAUAGGAAAGUACCCUCUUUCUUUCUCAAAGUUUCUCAACUGCCAAAAAUCUUAUCCAUCCAUCCAUCCAAUCAACCAACAUUUAUUGAUCUUCUACUACAGUCAUGUGUCACUUAUUGACGGGGAUACAUUCUGAGAAUUGCCUCGUUAGGUGAUUUCAUCAUCCAAAAUCCAGAGUGUACUUACACAGACCUAGAUGGUACAGCCUACUACACACCUCGGGUAUGUGGUACUAAUCUUAUGGGACGACUGUUGUAUAUGUGGUCCGUUGGAGACUGAAACGUUAUGCGGCACAUGAUUGUACGUGUACAGCAAUGGACUGGGUACUAUGAAUGUAUACAGAUGGAUGAGACUCCUCUGUUCUGUGUUUUCUUAGAUUCUGUAUUUGUCUAUUUGCAUCCAUUAAUCACAGGGCCAAACUAAUAGCCAAAGUAGUUUAUGUCUCCCCUGUGACCAGCUUAAGUGGAUGUACAAAAAUCAUAUUACAAACCAACCAACCCAUCCUGAAGCCAUACUCCCAACCACCUCCUUCAUCUAACUCCCACACACCAAGCCACUAUUUCCCCUGCCCUAAAUCAACCAAGGGCCAGGUACCAGACAAAUAGGGACAGACCCUAUGCUCCAAAAUUCACAGGAAUUAUUCCAACUAGCCAAUCCUAAACUGUUUACCCUGUCCUACCUUGUCUUUCCCACAGAAACUCCAAUAAAGGCUGUGGCCUCUGCUUUCCCCUCGCUCCUGCUUCUGCCCCCUGACCAAACCUGCUGCUUCUCUGUGUGGCCUUGUGUAGCACGGUGUGCUCCCUUCUCUUGGGAACUGUGAGUAAUAAAACGUCUGUCAGUGGCAUUAACCUCGCCAUGUCAUCACUCAGUCACCUUUAGAAAUUAUGACCCAGGCACAAAUCAUCCACCCAAAACAAGUUUCUUCCCUCUUCUUCUCCUCCUUUUCCUUCUUUCUCUGAGUCAAAAAUCUCUUCCUUCCCAUUGUUUUUCUUUGCCAUGCCUAAGAUAUGGUUUCUCUGCUCCAACAGUCUGAUGCAUCUUCCUCAGGCCCUCUGACACCUAGGAAAUGGAUAUAGGUUGGUUUUUGGUAGACCCAUUUGCUUUGCUUGAGGUUCACUGUGCCUGGGCACUAUCCCUUAUAGACCGUAGGCUCUCUCUUAUUCACUUUCGGGCACUGCCUCAAUUCUGCUUGCUCCUGAUAGUCCUCAAUGAAAAUCUAGAAUAUCUUCAGGCCACUGCUCAGUCUUAGAGAUGCAUUUCCACUUUACUUAGUGCCUUGGACUAUCAUGGUUAAUGUCUGUGUUUUAAUGCUCUCUCCUGAGCUAUGGUUCAUCCCGCUAAGUCACACUUUCGUGAUAAUUAGAAAAGAGGUGACCGACAAGGGGAUUUGAUUCGAUGGCUUAGUUUGUCUGGGAGAUACGUAUUUUUACUGCUAACUUAUAUGACAAAUCGGGGAGGCACUCUUGGCUAGCGUAAAUUAUUUUAUGGGAGUGAGAGGUCGUGUUAUUCUAAUCUUUAGUUGAGCUUGCUGACCUGUAUAAAGUCAGCAAAAUUCAAUAAUAUUGUGUAAGCAUCCUGGUAGGAUCUGUGCUAAACACUAGCAAUUGAGUUCAAACGGAUACAAUCGGUGUCCUCUGAAUAUUUAUAUUCCAAAGCUGACAUGACACAAAACAGUUUAACACAAUACCACGAAAUACGCCCAUGUGUUAUAAUGAUUAAUUCACAAUUGCUUCCUAGCUAAAGUUUUAGAAACUAAGUGUUGAGCCUCCCCUCCUAGCAGACCUACUGAAAUACGUUAGAAUUGUCCGGUGCUCAGACACUGAUCCCAAUAAUGAGAGUAUUCAGUGACAGCUUCCCAAGUCUUAGAUUUGGUCCUCCAAGUGCGUUUACUCUGGACUUCCCUCCUCAGUGACUUGUAGCUUGAUGUUUUGUUUCAAUACUAAGUUUCAGCUGGUUAGAGUGUGUUAAGUAACUUCAUUCUCCACUAUGUACAUUUAGUGAGCCUCCUCUUAUUCUUCAGAU